ensembl:lncRNA
AGAAGUUGGCCAGUGGGAAGCAUCUUGUGCUCUGACUUUUAGCCGUGCAGAGAAUCAAGCUAAAGAUACUGUUUCAGGAACAAAAAGACAAAACAGACUGCACACAAGUCCCAUUUCACCUGCACCAACACACAAACGCAUAAUCACACUCACCAAAAGAAGCCCGGUCGUUUACCUUUUAAGUCUGUCUUUGUGUAACAUGUCGCCGUGAAGCUGUCACACACCUGAGACCUGUGGAAGGGAAACGGGACCCUGGAGGACAGACUGGAGUCCCGGGUCGGUUCUGGAUUACUGAGACCCCAGUGGACCCCUGAAGACCGGGUGAGGGCAUCAGGGUGCAUCUCAAAUGCGUCUUGAGAGGUCACUUGUGUUUGAUUUCACUUCCCUGCUCACUUUUGAACGUCGGGAAACUUCAACCGCAGCACAGAGUGCGUUUCCACUGGGCCGCUGAGGGAGAGCAGGAGCUGCCGACGGCCCGGCCAGACUUCAGAACCUCGGCCCGGUUUGGCAGAGUGAAACCAACUGUGUUUCUGAGCUUUGUUCUGCGCUCUACACAAUACAAAGUUGACUAAUUGGUCCUUCAAUGCGGCCAGGGAGCCAUUCGAGUUCACAUUACACUGCACACUGCAUUCCUGACCGCCUCCCACCGCGGCCGGAGCGAUCGGGUCCCUGAGCGUCCCCUGUACGUCCCCUGUACGUCCCCUGAGCGUCCUCUGUACGUCCCCUGAGCCUCCCCUGAGCGUCCCCUGUGUGUCCCCUGAGCGUCCCCCGAGCGUCCCCUGUGUGUCCCCUGAGCGUCCCCUGUGCGUCCCCUGUGUGUGCCCUGAGCAUCCCCUAAGCGUCCCUUGUGCCUCCCCUGUACGUCCCCUGUGCGUCCCCUGUGUGUGCCCUGAGCGUCCCCCGAGCGUCCCCUGUGUGUCCCCUGUGCGUCCCCUGAGCGUCCCCUGUGCCGGGAGCCAUUCACACCUGUGUGGGAAGCAAAGCUCCUGCAAUUCUUGACAAUUUACACAACAUUUUCGAGCACGUUUGCCAUCGUCCACUUGACAAACGAAUCCAAACCCGGCCCACGAGCUCAGGACAAAACCCCAAAGCACACAUUUUAACUUUCCCCUCUUCCCUCCUCCACGCAUGAAUGAAAGCAAGAAUUUCAGGGCUCCUUUUUUAAUUGACCUCCCCCAAAAUCCCACCACCACCCCAACAAACCCUUUUGGCACAAAAGGGUUUCUUUUCUGCAAUAAUACAAAGGUUAUUAGCCAGGUCCUUUUCUUGCCCCGCCCCCAGCCCUCUUUUAGCAGAGGAAAAAGGAGGUACCAGUAAUCCAGAGCAAAUCAAAAUGACCUUUGAACCCUUUCUGCUGUACUUUUUCUCAUGGACAGAGUUCUUUGGUGGGGCGGUGAUCAGAGGGCUGGACCCGGCCGCUGCCUCUCGUCUCCUGACAAAUCGCUGCUGAGCCUCUUUUGUCCCCCUGACUUUGAUCUCACCUGCUUGUCAGGCGCCUCACAAAGAGCUCUCGUACAGUUCCAGCACACAGCAAACAAAUUGGCAACUAUUUUAUUCUGCCUCCCUCUUAUUCUUGUUUAAGCCAGUUCUGUGCUAAAUGCUGCUGUGUUGAAUGGGUUGACGGUGUUUCCUGAGCAUAACAUGAUUAAAAUAAGAAUUGUCCUCUGUGGUGAUAAAACGGAGAAGGAAACAAUAGGAAGCAGCACAGAAUCUGACAGGCGCAGAACAAAAAUGGUGAUGAAAUGAAAAAGAACCGCGGUGGGAAUGACUAUUGUGCUUCAACUACUUUAUUAAUGAAUGAUGUGAGUGUCAUUCACACACUUUAUGUUUCUAUACUGGUUAAAGUAUUUAUGGAUUACAGAUGUUUGUAUUUUCUUGUCUUUAACACUGUAUACUAAUAUUAUUUUGUAGAAAAAGAUCUUCUUCUUAUCACGCCAAUUUAAAUGUUAGGUGGAGCAGACCAAAUGUAGCUUUUAGUCAAGUGGCAGCAAGACAGUCAACGUCACCAUGACACCAGCAUCUCUAAAUAAUUCGGGAUGACAACAAUAAGAAUAUUCUGAUUCAGUGAAGUUUUGAAACAAUUCCCCCUAUAAUUCAGCACAAUACCUUUCUUUGGGGAGAACCGUGACCCCCCUGGAUCCGCUCUGACUAAUUGUGUGUGCGACAUAUGUUGGCAUUAAAAGUUAAAAGGUGGCUACUGUUGUCUUUUUCCAUUCUCUUGGAAAACACACAUUUGAGAAAACCUUUGUAUUGAAUGUCUCUCCAAAGUUGCAAUAUCGUCAUACUUACUGUUAUUUUUCAAUGCUAAUUGAUUUUGAUUUAUUCAUACAAAAUCCGUUAAAGGCAACCACGGGUUGGAUGUUGUGGGUGGGAAAGAAGCCGCUUACGUGGUUUUCCGGGAGUUAACGGGAGUGAAACCGGUGGUAAUGUGCAGGGUGACCCAUCACCCGCCGGCAGCACAGCAGCUUUGGAUCACCUCCUAAUAAAGUAUCACACACUUGGGAGGCAUUGGCACAAAGUGACAAAGCUGCAUUUAGGGUGAGUUAUUACAGAAACAUUGUGUCGUCGGCUGUCUCAACACGCACACACCGCUGAGCACACGUCUCCAUCCUUGUUGUCUCUGACGGUUGUUCUAGUAUGUGAUCAAACCCCAACCAAUGCAGGAUGUGUGUAAAUACGCUAGAUAAAUACAUGGAAAGAUAUACCAUUUUUUUACCUUUUUUAGAAUUUGAGUCAGUUGUCAGUUGUAGAAAGAAUUCCAGGUUCAAAUGUUUCCUCUGGGCAGGUUGAUUAGCAGUAAAUGAUUGAUUUUUAACUAAUCCCAACCAUUUGUUAGUGAUACUGAACACGACUACAUUGAACAGUGUCAUUUCAAACAAGCAGCGGACAUGUCGACCAGUCGAAGGACUCGCCUCGCUUUAUGAGGAUGGACAGACAAGCAGCUUGUCCAGGUCCCCCAUGGGGUCACUAUGUAAUGUAUCUGUUGUCAUACAGAAAAGGUGAACUGCAGAAAGAGAUGGAGAGGGUGGAUGAAAAUAACAACCUCCAAUGUUUUUCUGCGCUUCUCUUUCUCACACGCUUUCUCUCUCUCUCUCUGCCAGUCUUUGUCUCUCAUUCACUGGUUUCCCUGUGAAACCGGAGAGGUCUGUCUGAUGCUCCUACAGCUCAGUGAUUGUUAGCUGCAGGUCUCAGAUGCCUGCAGAGUGGCUGCACCUUCCAACAGGCAAAUGAUUGUGGAAGGAUGAAACUCUAGAGGCCAUCAAUGGCUGUGACACACACACACAUUCAUCAAACAAAUACAGGUACAUACACUAUCCACACAAACACGCACACACAGAUACACAACCAGCACCAUAGAAAGUGAGUACGAGACGCUGAGCGUUCUCCAUGGUCCAAUGUGGAGUGUUGUUUAGUGACAACACGACGGGAUAACGGGAUGUCGCUAGCUGCUGGGGCGAGGACGGAUGGCGGGCUAGUUAGCAAGGUAGCUCGUUCUCCUCUGCAGCGGCGGACUGACGCUGUAACCGGUGGAGCAUUGAGGCGUGACGGAACGGGCUAACUGUCUAGCUAACUAGCCCAUAGCUGACCACCUAGCCAGCCCGCCAUGAUUUAAUAAUAUGCAUUAAUAACACAGAAAAUGAGCUUAACAAAGCUGCUGCUAAUCUGGUGAUGUACAAUACGCUUUUAUCCUCUGAAGAGAGAUUUUUCAUGAAGCUUCAUGUUUUUACUUUCUUCUCUUUGUACUUUGUACGUGUUGUACCAUGUUGCGACUCAACUGCGCGUUUUAGCCAACAAAGCUGGCGACUUACUUAACUUCAUUUAGCUCAUGAGGAGGUUUGUAGUGGAUUACAGCAGUACUAUUCAUAAUGGCUCCAUGGCGGAGGACAUAGAUGGCUUCCAUCUCUGUGGUCAUCUUCCAGUGAGACGAGAUCUGAAUUAAAUAUGGAUGCUUUUACACUUGGCUCCAUUUUGGUUUCUUUCUGUAGACUUUAGUAUUUAAACACUGAUGACACAGUUCUCUUUACCACUUUAACAGUUAAUCCUACAUCUAAAACGCACAAAUAACCCUUGAUGAUGUGUCAGGAUGCGUGUUGAACAUUUGUCUCCCAGCAGAUCAGUCAAUCAUUACACAAUGACCUAAAAAGCACUUUCUCUUGUCUUUGAAUGAGCUUUUAUUGUUAUUUAUGCCUUCAUUUAAUUUACACACCAGUAUAUUACAGUACAUCAAAAGGAAGGGCACUCGUAUCGGGUUGUGUUACUUUGCACUAUGUCAAAGAAACCUUUGAUAAUGCAAUGCAAAACCUAGUGAUGUACAUUCACUAUGCACACAUGAACAUAGACAUACCGUCCAGCUCGGUCACCCAAGGAACAGAUAUAAAGUAGGUCCAUUUUCUAUUACUUUUGUUUGUGUUUUUUUACCUUUAUACAAAAAAGAAAAUCCAACAGUUUGAAAAUAAUAUGAUUUUUUAUAUUUUAGGUCAUGAGGAGAUAACAUUUCAAGCAAGAGCUCAGACUUGUGAAAGGAAAAGCAGACAUUUCAGACAUUUUGACAUUUGUUUGUGUUUACUGACAACAAAUUAAUGUAUUAAUUAAUCAUUAAUUAUAUGGAAAACAGCUGCUGCUUCCAGCCUUAAUAUCUUUGACAUUUAACAGACAUUUGAAGAUUGUACGCUGCAGGAAAUUAUUAUUAAGUUUUUCUCUAGUUUCUUUUAAAGGCUCAACGAUUAAUUGAACUACUGAGACAUCGAUCGAUAAAAACGAUUAGUUUGAUCGUGUUACCUGCAGUUUGUUAAUUGCUUACAUUCUUGCAAAGAUCUGUGCACUCGCAGCUGAUGCUAACACGUAGAAACAGGUCUCUUUUCCUCAGAAGGUACCAAACAGUGGUAGCGUGUGAUGGAUGUUAGAUUCUCCCUCCAGCUGACAUUGAUGAAGUAGCUGUUUUAAAACAGAAUGUUGCCUCAUUUCCUCGGGACCAUAGAGAACAAACCCUGGCUGCUCCACAGGGGGCCAUGCGAGGAAGCUGCCGGCUGAAUGAGUAGAAGACGGAUGAGGUGCUUUUACCUAAGACCUUCACUCGGAAGCGAUUCCUGGCACUAUUCGAGGCGAGUGGAAAUGACUUAGAUACGCUGAGCGUUGGAAUGAAUCAAAUCCCUGGAGAAAUAAAGCCUGUGAGGGUUUUCACCUGUUUGACUUGAGAUACUGUCUGUCUGUCGGUGGGCGGCUGCCGUCACUCAGUAAGCCAGUUCUCCAGGUGACAGACGCCUGUCGAGGAGGCACUUGAGGGAGCGAUAUGUUUGCCUUUGUCUUACAGCCGACAUGCCGCAGCUAUGUUAAUGCCUCUCCAAACCAGCAGUUUGCCAAAUCUCCUUUUUCAUCCACACCGAGUAUUGAGUAUUGAGUAUU